GUCAUAUGAUUUGAAUUGAUAAGCUGAUACUCUCUGGGGUGUACAACACUUAAGAGCAUGUUAGAGUCCUGAUGGCA